AGAGCUGCCGCCAUUUUGCGGGAAGAGGAGGCUCUGUACCUGCAGUGCUGCUUUUCUUGCCUAGACUCUAGGAACUAUCCGAGCUCCACUCCCCACAACAUACUCAAAGGAACGGAGAGAACCGGGACCCCCCUGCGGGGACCCGGAACUGAUCUGACAGGAUGGCAUCUGAUGACUUUGACAUAGUGAUUGAGGCCAUGCUGGAAGCUCCCUAUAAAAAAGAAGAGGAAGAAGAGGAGUCGGAGCCAUAAUAAAAGCAGGGAUAGAAAGCGCAGUCGUAGUCGAGAUCGGGAUCGGUAUAGACGGAGAAAUAGUCGGAGCCGAAGUCCAGGUCGGCAGUGUCGUCACCGUAGCCGUAGCUGGGAUCGUCGACAUGGUAGUGAGUCGCGAAGUCGGGACCAUCGUCGUGAGGAUCGUGUGCAUUACAGGAGUCCUCCACUUGCCACUGGUUAUAGGUAUGGACACAGUAAGAGUCCUCAUUUCAGAGAGAAGAGCCCAGUCAGGGAGCCAGUUGAUAAUCUGAGUCCUGAGGAGCGUGAUGCCCGCACAGUUUUCUGUAUG
rnacentral:lncRNA from 1 species